rnacentral:misc_RNA from 1 species
UUUAAGUUUGGAUCAAUUUUUCAGCCAAAACCUAAAAUAUUUCUAUCGCAGUUCGUGUUGUUUUUUACCACUGGGUGUACUGAACCUGCGCUCCAUUCGUUCAAUGCACUCGGAACCUCUUUCGAUAUUGGUCUGAGCAUGCGCAGUCGGCCAUAACAACACAUCGCAAUGUUUCGCCUAAAAUGGCAGCGAGUAGCUUAGAACAAGACGGCGAUGGGCUAAAAUUGGAUCCAAAUUUCGAACUUUUGGCAAUACUAUUGGCCCUUGCUUUUCAAGAGGAAGAUGCAGAAAGGUUUCUAGAAGUAUAUGACAAUGUUAUUCCGAAAUCACUCUCAGUUUCUGAGGUGGAGGGUAUCAAAGACAGAGCUCGUGAUUUAGCAGAUUUGCCUGGAGAAACGCUGCUGGAACUGAAAGCUGCCCAGGAAAGUGAAGCUGCACUUUUCUCAUCUCCAGCUGUUGGAUCUUUGGGUCAUUUUGUCAGUAGGCACAUCACUGACAGCCUCCAUCCGAAGACUGCAGAGACGGGAUAUUCAAACCACCUACCUCAUGGGAAAUUUCAGUCCAAGUCAGGGGCUCUUUUGAGUCAACGGCUUAAUGCCCACACACUGGCCAGUAGCAGUCCCAACAUCCAAGGUGACAUUUUGCAGUGGCAGGGCCCUGUGAGUCAUCUGAGGAACAUUGGACUCCCUUGGAGAGCAGAUGCUGAAAGCCAAGCAGGCAUUUCUUACCUCAGGCAGCCGCGUAGGCUUCUUCAAGACACUGAAAAAUAUCUGGACCAGGAAACAUUUCCUGGAGCCACUCUUACUUUGGACAGCACAUUUAGGGACACGAAUUCCAACCUUGAUCCCAAUCGAUGGAGCACCAUGGAGCCUGUCGUUGCACCUAACAAAGUGCAGCAGGCGCGGACUACUGGUGUGAAACAGCACAAAAAGCUGUCUCCGCAAAAGCACCCUGCGACCAGUUCGAUAGAGCAACAGUACCUCACGAAUGGCACUACAGAAAAUGCAAAGAGCCGAACUCCAAAAUUUACUGACAAGGAAAAACAAUGUAUAAAAUCUAAACCACCUCAAACUGCUUCAGAAGUUGAUUUAUGUAAGUCUGAACCAAUCGCUAAAAUUCCCAAUUGCUCUUUGUUGCAUCUUGAGAACUCCCUUUGUGACAACAGCUGUGAGUUGGGCGAUUGCACAAAGGAGGAGAGGGCUGCCCUGAUACCCAAGUCACCACCAAUUCCUGACUUCCCACCAUUUAAAUCCCUUGAGGACGUUGGCCACUCAGUUGGAAAGCUCCUCACAAACAGUCAGCCGAAACACACUACUUGUCCUCCACCCUGGUUUCUGUCCACAACAACAGCCACACUCGCAUAUCCUGAUUCAUCAGACGGUGUCAUGGCUGCUAAGGUUGGGACAAAAUAUGGCACCGUCCCAGACUUGCAUGUAGACGUAUGUAUGAACAGUGCAGUAAGCAAUGACGGUCCUCAUCAAAAGACUAAAACAACUCUUAAUUUAGACACACUUUCUAAUCACCAGCUGCCUGAUGACACACCAGAGGGAUCGACUCACGUUGACACUAAUUCUUUCAGUACUCCAGAAGUGCCUUCUCAUGUAAAUAAAUUGGCUGCAGAUGUCAGUCCUUCAACGGAUGGGGCAUGUGAUCAAGUGGACAAUGAUGAAUUUGAUAUUAAUUUGGAGGAGCAGCCAAAAAGCAUUGAAUGCCAGUGGAAUGCUGCCAAGAAAAAAAAGAAGAAAAACAAGAAAAAGAAAGCGGCAGGAACUGGUUUUGAAAGUGCAAGCUUAAGCAGUGUGAAGUUACCUGUUGGUGCACCUCCCUUACCACAUUCGCCUCCAGAGCUACGCAACAAACUCCAGCUGAAAGACUCUCACUCAGUGACCACCUCCAAAGUUACUGCCGGGCCUUCAAGUGAAAAUGCCCGACACCCACCGCCUAUGGUGUCGUCAGAUAGCGUGACUUCCAGUGGUGAAUCAUCUGCAGAUGGAGGUGCAUGCACGAGUGAUGUCAGCAGUCAGCAGCACAACAUGGAUGCAGUGAAAAGAGAUGCUGGGGACUGCUCUGAUAAUGUACCUCAAACUCCACAAAUCGACAGUGCCACAGGGGGCCUGGGUGCCGGUAAAACUGAUUCAAAUAGCACAAAGGAUGUGUGUGUCCAGGGUGAUCCGCUGGUAAAACCAGAACCUGCCAACAAUACCCCAGAGGCUGAUAUACAUUUUAAGGCUGACAUUCAGCCAUACGAUCAGUUUCUUUCCAAACUGCCAGCCGUGCAACCUGGCGCAGGUCUUACUGUCAAAAGUGACCCCAGUGACUCUGACAGUGACAAGAAUGACGCCAAGGUACAAUUAGACAAGGAAGCUGCACCCGACUGGUCAGCCAUAGCUGGCAAGCCACACAGUCUGAGUGAGCCCACUGGCGAUUCUGCUGACAAUGAAGACACCCGCGAUUUCAUCAAAGUAGAGUACAAACGCUCCCUGCGCAUUGCCAAGAAGCGCAGUGUCGGUGUGAUUGAUGACCACAGGUUUGUUCACUCGUCUGGGAGGUACAUGGAAAGGGACAGAGAUUACUCCCGGAGUAGAAAUUUGCAAUCUGCUGGACUGCGGAAAUCGAGUAGCGAACCUGCGGGAAUGUUUGAACUAGGUGACAAAGACAGUGAAGGUGUUGAGAACAAAGCUAAACCAAAAUAUCUUUCAGACAGUGUUACCAAGACUGACAUGCAUCUUACAUCCUCUGUGUUGACGGAAACCACCACAGUACAACGAUCUGAAUUUUCAUAUGCAAGCAAAGUAAAGUCAAACAUGAAAACGUCGUCACUUCCACCGAAGCUCAGUCCACAAGCACUUUUGGAUUAUGGAGACGACGAUCAGUCCGAUAACCCAGCCAGCAGCGAGAACUCCUCUGAUUCUGUGACUGGAAAUAAGCCUGCGGUCUUGGAACCAAAGCCCAUGCCUUCAGGAAUAUCAGUACUAGAUAAGAGUGAUACAAGCUGUACCAGUAAAAGUGAGUUUGUCGUUGCACACUCUGCCAAAGAACAGUUAGUAAAGAACAGUGUUAGACCUGAGAAACAUUACAUUGUCUCUCAGACAAUGAGACCACCUGGCGACAGCAGCAAGGUAGGACAAGUGAGGAGCUUCCAAAGAAGUAGUUCUGUAGACACCAGUGGAGUGACAAAGAAAGUGUCAUUUGAUGAUAACUCCAUUAGGCGUACGGUGCCCCCACAAGGCCCUGAGGCCAGUGUGCAAUAUUUAGACUUGACAUAUGCGGGUCGGUUGAAAGGACAACGCCCUGCCGUCUCAAAAGCUGCUGCAGUGCACCCGCAGCUGCUGACCUCAGAUGUGCAGCGGGUGCAAGUUGCAGGCUUAAAAGAUCUGAAAUCACAACCAAAGGGAUCUGAACCAAAUGAAAAGGAAGUGCUAAUUACCAGCAAAGCUACCAUUGUGCUCGGUACAAAAACACCAACCCAAAACGACCUUGGUAGAGGAAGCAAUGUUAUGAUUAAACCAGGCAGCAGCAAUCUUGUCUCUUCCACAGACUUUAAACCUGUUGAUCAACCCGCCAGUUCUCAACCAAGAGCUUCUCCAGCUACCCUUCCAUUGACCUCGAGAAAUACCACCUCCUCCCCAACCCCUUCUGUUGGCUCUUCCACCUCCAAACCCCAUCCCGUUUUUGACCUUGAUCCACAAGACAACUUUGACAUCACCUUCGGUUCAGUGAUUGUUCGCAAGGCUGGUUACGAGAUACUGCGUGAGGAGAGCUCUGCCAUGAAGCGAGGAAGUCCCGUAAAGGAGAUCCUUUCUAAUGUUCCAGCAACAGGGCAGCUUCCGACGCCCACAGGUCUGAGCUGUGCUGAACUUGAGAAGUCCUUCAUGAGCCAAGACUCCAAUCAGCCCACCCCAGCCAAAGUGGAUGAUGCAGCAGGAGGUGACUCGUCAGCUACUUCAGGUGUCAGCUUUGGAAAGUUUGACGGUGCCUUGGGUAUCAAAGCUGCCUUGGAGGGAAAGAAAGAUGACACAGGAGACUUCAACCACUUAGAGGUGGCGGGAAUGCUGUUUGCAGAAUGGUGUAAAACACAGACGGAGAUUGGAGAGAAUAAAGUUCUGGUCCUAGACUAGGAUUUGUUCAGCAUUGUAAUAACAGCAUGGAUUCGUCAGCAUGCAGGAGGGCAGUUGGGAAAAAUGGGAGAAUUAGGUUGGAGGUGAGAGGUUUCUCAAGCUGGUGCUAAUGCUGAUUUGCAGAUGGGCGUUUAGGAGUCUUCAAUUUAUGAAAGGGCACUAGAAUUACAAAUUAUCUUGG